AUGGCGGCGGCGUCCCUCGCCCGCGCGGCCGCGCGCUUCGCCGGCGAGCCCUCCCGGGCGCCGGCGGGGUCGACGCGGCCGCGGCCCUGGAGGGUCGGGACGCGCGCCCCUGAGUCGCGGCGCCGGCGUGCAACGGGCGUGCGGUGCUGCGGUGGAGCGGGGUUAUUCGGCGAUGGGGCUCUAGGUCGUGGGGAGGCGGAGGCGGACGAAGGGGGCAGGUUCGUCGGGUGGUUCCGGGAGGCCUGGCCGUACAUCCGGGGCCACCGGGGGAGCACCUUCGUCGUCGUCAUCUCCGGGGAGGUCGUCGCCGGGCCCCACCUCGACGGCAUUCUGCAGGAUAUAUCGCUUCUACAUGGUCUUGGGAUCAAAUUUGUUCUUGUUCCUGGAACGCAUGUUCAGAUUGAUAAGCUCUUGGCUGAUAGAGGAAAGAAGGCCAAUUAUGGUGGUCGUUACCGUAUUACAGAUUCUGAUUCAUUAGAUGCUGCGAUGGAGGCAGCUGGCAGAAUACGCCUUACUAUAGAAGCAAAGCUAUCUCCUGGUCCCCCAAUGUUAGAUCUUCGUCGACAUGGUGUUAAUGGUCGCUGGCACGAAAUCUCCGACAAUGUUGCAAGCGGAAACUUCCUGGGUGCUAAGAGACGAGGAGUUGUUGGUGGCAUUGACUAUGGAUUCACUGGUGAAGUUAAGAAAAUAGAUGUUUCACGGAUAAAAGAAAGACUUGAUAGGGAUAGCAUAGUUGUCGUGAGCAAUAUGGGAUACUCCAGUUCAGGAGAGGUGUUAAAUUGCAACACAUACGAAGUUGCGACAGCAUGUGCUUUGGCUAUCGAGGCGGACAAGCUUAUCUGUGUUGUCGAUGGCCAAAUAUAUGAUGAGCAUGGCCGAGUCAAUCGUUUCAUGUCUAUCGAGGAAGCAGAUAUGCUCAUCAGAACACGCGCUAAGCAGAGUGAAACUGCUGCAAAUUAUGUAAAGGUUGUAGGGGAGGAGGACAUUAGUUAUGCCCACAAUUUUCCUAUCAAAGAAGAGAAAGAACAAGUAUGGGUUGGAAGAGAUUUCGUCAGUGAUUACACUGCAUCCUUUCGGAAUGGUGUGGGUUUCAAUAAUGGAAAUGGUCUGUCUGGUGAGCAAGGGUUUGCUAUUGGUGGGGCAGAGCGGUUGAGCAGGUCAAAUGGCUACCUUUCAGAGUUGGCUGCAGCAGCAUACGUAUGCCAUGGCGGUGUCCAAAGAGUUCAUAUCAUAGAUGGCACUGUUGGGGGGUCAUUGUUGCUAGAAUUAUUCACAAGAGAUGGUGCAGGAACACUAAUAGCAAGAGAUAUGUAUGAAGGAACAAGAACAGCUAGAGAGGAAGAUUUUUCUGGUAUUAGAAAAAUCCUUCGCCCCCUAGAAGAAUCCGGUGUCCUAGUGCAGAGAACAGAUAAAGAGCUUUUGGAAGCACUGAAGUCAUUUAUUGUCGUGGAAAGAGAUGGUUCAAUCAUUGCGUGUGCUGCUCUCUUUCCCUUUUUUGAGGAUAAAUCUGGGGAAGUUGCUGCUAUAGCUGUAUCUGAAGAAUGUCGAGGACAGGGUCAAGGAGACAAGUUACUUGAUUAUGUUGAAAAGAAGGCAUUAUCCCUUGGUCUUGAGAAAAUAUUCUUGCUUACCACACGGACAGCAGACUGGUUUGUCCGGCGUGGCUUCAAGGAAUGCUCAGUGGAAUCCAUCCCAGUGAAGAGGCGAAAACGAAUAAAUCUCUCACGCGGAUCAAAAUAUUACAUCAAACGGCUCCAGCCAGCAGAGAUUGGGCAUAUGGCUGCCAACAAUUUUGCGUUGAAAUGA
rnacentral:rRNA from 1 species